UACAGAGGUCUCAAGCGUUGUUCGGAUUCAUUGGGCGUAAAGGCGCGUAGGCGGCCUGUUAAGUCGAACGUGAAAUCCCCAGGCUUAACCUGGGAACUGCAUCCGAUACUGGAUGGCUUGAAUCCGGGAGAGGGAUGCAGAAUUCCAGGUGUAGCGGUGAAAUGCGUAGAUAUCUGGAGGAAUACCGGUGGCGAAGGCGGCAUCCUGGACCGGCAUUGACGCUGAGUGAGCGAAAGCCAGGGGAGCAAACGGG
rnacentral:rRNA from 1 species